CUGGAGAGCUGGGAAGGCAGAUCCACUCUACCUGGCCCUGACUUGGUGGGAGCGCAGAUGCCAAAGACCCGGGCAGCCUGGACGGGUUGGUUGCAGGCACAGUCCAGGUGCUCACCUGUUCACUGAACGCCAGAGACCUCCGAGCAUGGCAUUCGAGGAGCUCUUAGAGAAGGCCGGGGGCGCAGGCCUGUUCCAGACCCUCCAUGUCAUCACCAUCUGCUUCCCAUCCAUCUUCUUACCCGCCCACAUGCUUCUGGAGAACUUCUCCGCUGCCAUCCCAGGCCACCGCUGCUGGGUGCACAUGCUGGACAACAGUUCUGAGGUCCCCACAAACCUUACCCCCAAGGCCCUCCUGGCCGUCUCCAUCCCUCCAGGCCCCAACCAGGAGCCUGACCAGUGUCGCCGCUUCCGCCAACCGCAGUGGCAACUCCUGGACCCCAACGCCACAGCCACCAACUGGAGCGAGGCGGCCACGGAGCCAUGCGUGGAUGGCUGGGUCUACGACCACGGCACUUUCACCUCCACCAUCGUGACCAAGUGGGACCUGGUGUGCGACUCCCAGGGCCUGAAGCCCUUGGCCCAGUCCAUCUUCAUGUCCGGCGGCCUGGUGGGGACCUUCAUCUGGGGCCUCCUCUCCAACCGGUUUGGGCGGAGGCCGAUGGUGAUCUGGAGCCUCCUACAGGUGGCCGUGUCCGGCACAGUCACUAUCUUUGCCCCGAAUUUUGUCAUCUACUGUGGCCUCCGGUUUGCAAGUGCUUUUGGACUAGCUGGUUUCAUCAUGGCUUCAGUAACCCUGGUAAUGGAGUGGAUCGCAACCCGCAGGAGGACUGUCGCCAUGACGAUCCUGGGGUGUAUUUUCGGCACUGGCCAGCUGGUCCUGGCCGGCCUGGCCUUCGUCCUGCGUGACUGGCGAGCCCUCCAGCUGGCCGUGUCCGUGCCCUUCUUUGUCUUCUUCCUGAUAUUCUGGUGGAUGGCAGAAUCCGCCCGCUGGCUGAUUAUCAUGGGCAAACCAGACCAAGCACUUCUGGAGCUCCAAAAGGUGGCCAGGAUCAACGGCCACAAGGAAGCCAAAAAGACACUGACCAUAGAGGUGCUGACGACCUGCAUGGAGGAGGAGGUGGCCUCCUCGAAGGCUCAGCAGUCGGUGUGGGAGCUGUUCCGCCUGCCGGUGCUGCGGAGGAGGACCUCGGUCUUGGUGGUGGUGCACUUCUCCCUAAUGAUCUCCUACUACGGGAUGGUCCUGGACCUGCAGAGCCUGGGGAGGGACAUCUUCCUCCUCCAGGCCCUUUUCGGAGCUAUAGACUUACUGAGUCGGGCCGCCACCUCUCUCGUGUUCAGGUUCAUGGGCCGCCGCCUGACUAUGGCCGGCUUCCAGGCCCUCGCUGGCUGCUGCAUCCUGGCCAACUUGUUGGUGCCACAAGAUUUACAGACCCUGCGUGUGGCCUUCGCUGUGCUGGGCAGGGGAUGUUUUGGGAUAAACUUAACGUGCAUAACCCUCUACAUGGCUGAGCUCUUCCCAACGUCACUGCGGCUGAUGGCAAAUGGCUUCCUGACCUCAGUGGGCCGGCUGGGGGCUAUGAUGGGCCCGCUGCUCAGGAUGACCCGCCAGGCCAUGCCCCUGCUGCCUCCCCUCUCCUAUGGUAUCAUCCCCAUGGUUUCCAGCCUGGCUGUCCUGCUCUUCCUCCCGGAGACCAAGGGAUUGUCACUGCCGGACACCAUCCAGGACCUGGAGAGCCAAUCAGUAAAAGCGAGGGGCAACCAGCAAGAGGUGGUCAUUACAGAAAGCACCUGGCUCUAGAAGUCCUGCCUGCAUGGAGCCCCUUUGGCCAAAGACCAUGCCCCUCCCAGGGAAGGAGUUGCCUCUUCUCCAAUCAGAAGGUGGAGGCAAGCUGGACAACUGGAGGACUUGGAGUGGCAGGGGCUGGGCAGCAUGGCCGUCUGCUGUGGCUGCACACUCUGUUUUCCCAGCCAUGGUUCACAGCUGCAUGCCUUCACUCAGCCACUCCAGCUGGAGAUACAAGUUCUAAUCUCACCCCCACCACUUUUGGUCCUCAUCCAUGUAAUGCGAAUGCUCAUGGAUCCUACCUCCAUGGUAUCAGGGUUAAGUGAUCUUAACACAGGCCAGAGUUCAAUAAAUGGAACUGCUAACAGGUCACCAGGUACAGGUGUCACCAAAAUCCAAUCCCAGUGAUCCUGGCCCAGGCACCUACCCCAGCAGGGGCUGCGUUCGCUCCAAGAAAGAAGCUGCUUUUUGUUUU